rnacentral:tRNA from 2 species
GGAGAGAUGCCCGAGAGGCUGAAGGGGCACGAUUGGAAAUCGUGUGAGGGCCUAAUAAGUCUUCCGAGGGUUCGAAUCCCUCUCUCUCCGCCA